UGCAAAGGCUUCGAGUUUAGGAGCAAGGCCAUCUUCACUUGUGGGUACAAUUACUAUGGCAUCCGGUGCUCUCAAUUGCAGGAGAGGCUCUCGUUGCUAGCUAGCUCAUAAUCAUAUAUAAUUAUUAAACUGGGCAUCCAAAGAUUUGCCUCCUUAAAUUAAUUAGUUAACAAAAGAAAAGUUGGUGGGAGGAAGGAAAGGAAGGACUAUAUAGUAAAGAAAAAGGGGAGUGAAAUAGUAAUUUUACAGGUGGUGGUUGGUUAAAUGAUAUGAUUUCUACUGUGUGGCGGUACGUAGUAGGCGGUUCUUUACACUAUUCGCGUUGGUUGGUUUGUUUCUUGGUUUUUUUUUUACUGGUUAAGAGUUUUGAAUUUUGAUGUAACAACCUCGGCCUGUUAGUCUCUGAGAAGAGAAUCCUUCUAUCUCACUAAGGAUUAGAUUCUGUUGUGGAGAAUCUGAUCAUGUGGAUUUGGAUGGAUUUCAAGGAGAUAUAAUAAGUCCAGAAGUGUUGAUAUGAAUGAAGUGCAAUAUAUCUGCAUUUUCUUAUCUGAACGUUAUUUAUUCAAAAAUGAAGUAUGUCAGUAUCCCCCGGUUAAGUACGGUUGUCACAAACUUUCACCAACCAUUAUCCCACCAAUGACAAUUCUUUACACUUCAAAAAAAAAAAAAAACACCGUCCAAUUCGUGACCAAUAUAAUCAUCCACGGGAUACACAUCCACGACUGCAAGCAAGGCGGGAACACCAACGUGCGGGACUCCCCACGGCAUUACGGGUGGAGGACGAUAUCGGACGGCGAUGGUGUGUCCAUCUUUGGUGGGAGCCGCGUGUGGGUGGAUCAUUGCUCGUUAGCUAACUGUAACGACGGCCUGAUAGACGCGAUCCAUGGGUCCACAGCGAUUACAAUCUCCAACAAUUACAUGACCCACCACGACAAAGUCAUGUUGCUGGGACACAGUGACACGUAUACUCAGGACAAGAACAUGCAGGUCACCAUUGCCUUUAAUCACUUUGGCGAAGGUCUCGUUCAGAGAAUGCCCAGGUACUUAUAUUCUUAAUUUUAAUUUAAUUUCAAAUAAAUGAGCGGGAGCUUUGGCCUUUGAGCCCUAAUCAUUGUUUAAUUUUAUGGUAAUUAACUUUUGGGUGAAUAUAUAUAGGUGUAGGCAUGGGUAUUUCCAUGUGGUCAACAAUGACUACACACAUUGGGAAAUGUAUGCCAUUGGAGGGAGUGCUAAUCCAACCAUCAACAGUCAAGGCAAUAGAUUCGUUGCUCCAGAUAUCAGGUUUAGCAAAGAGGUAUACACUUUACCCCCCUUUUUCUUCCACUAUAUAUAUAUGUAUCAAACACUUAAUUAUUAUUAUUAUGCAGGUGACGAAGCACGAAGAUGCACCGGAGAGCGAGUGGAAGAAUUGGAAUUGGAGAUCGGAAGGGGACAUGUUGAUGAAUGGGGCAUUUUUUACGGCAUCGGGAGCAGGGGCAUCAUCAUCAAGCUAUGCAAAGGCUUCGAGUUUAGGAGCAAGGCCAUCUUCACUUGUGGGUACAAUUACUAUGGCAUCCGGUGCUCUCAAUUGCAGGAGAGGCUCUCCUUUUUUGCCACUCUCUCUCGUUGCUAGCUAGCUCAUAAUCAUAUAUAAUUAUUAAACUGGGCAUCCAAAGAUUUGCCUCCUUAAAUUAAUUAGUUAACAAAAGAAAAGUUGGUGGGAGGAAGGAAAGGAAGGACUAUAUAGUAAAGAAAAAGGGGAGUGAAAUAGUAAUUUUACAGGUGGUGGUUGGUUAAAUGAUAUGAUUUCUACUGUGUGGCGGUACGUAGUAGGCGGUUCUUUACACUAUUCGCGUUGGUUGGUUUGUUUCUUGGUUUUUUUUUUACUGGUUAAGAGUUUUGAAUUUUGAUGUAACAACCUCGGCCUGUUAGUCUCUGAGAAGAGAAUCCUUCUAUCUCACUAAGGAUUAGAUUCUGUUGUGGAGAAUCUGAUCAUGUGGAUUUGGAUGGAUUUCAAGGAGAUAUAAUAAGUCCAGAAGUGUUGAUAUGAAUGAAGUGCAAUAUAUCUGCAUUUUCUUAUCUGAACGUUAUUUAUUCAAAAAUGAAGUAUGUCAGUAUCCCCCGGUUAAGUACGGUUGUCAC
rnacentral:lncRNA from 1 species